rnacentral:rRNA from 1 species
UGGGGAAUAUUGGACAAUGGGCGCAAGCCUGAUCCAGCAAUGCCGCGUGUGUGAAGAAGGCCUUCGGGUUGUAAAGCACUUUUGUCCGGAAAGAAAUCCUCUGGGUUAAUACCUCGGGGGGAUGACGGUACCGGAAGAAUAAGCACCGGCUAACUACGUGCCAGCAGCCGCGGUAAUACGUAGGGUGCAAGCGUUAAUCGGAAUUACUGGGCGUAAAGCGUGCGCAGGCGGUUUUGUAAGACGGAUGUGAAAUCCCCGGGCUUAACCUGGGAACUGCAUUCGUGACUGCAAGGCUAGAGUAUGGCAGAGGGGGGUUAGAAUUCCACGUGUAGCAGUGAAAUGCGUAGAGAUGUGGAGGAAUACCGAUGGCGAAGGCAGCCCCCUGGGCCAAUACUGACGCUCAUGCACGAAAGCGUGGGGAGCAAACAGGAUUAGAUACCCUGGUAGUCCACGCCCUAAACGAUGUCAACUAGUUGUUGGGGAUUCAUUUCCUUAGUAACGUAGCUAACGCGUGAAGUUGACCGCCUGGGGAGUACGGUCGCAAGAUU